CAAACAAGGAAAGAACAAGCGACUAAACAAAUACAAAACCCAGUUUGAGCGCACAAUUCACGUUUCAUAGCGAACUUACGAUUCUCUCUCAGUCAAUAAAAAAUGUUACAUAAUAAUUAUAAUAAUAAUAAUAAUAAUUCUCUGUCCCACUCAAUCCUCAGUCUCCAAAAACCUGGCAGCGAUUUCGUAUCGGACAAUCGUUGUUCGUCGUCUCGAUUCGCUCUCUGUUCCUCUUAUUCGAUCCAGAAGAAGGAGAAGAUUCAGAAGAAGCGACUCGCCGCCGCGGAUUCGGCUCCAUAGGGUGGGGUUGAUCGUGACUUCCGGUCGGUGAAGGAGAAGAUCGGAGAAGAUCUCCGGCCUGAGAAAUGAUAACUCGCUCGAAACUCGUCGAGCAACUCAGAGACUACCAGAUCCGGUCCCAGCACAAGUGCCGUGCUCUCAUCGUCUUCUCCCCCAAGCCUCACCUCGCCUCUUGGGUUGAUGUGGUUGUUGCUACCUUUUCAGCAGUGGUGCUCGGCAUGCUUGUUGUGCUAGCAUAUGCAGCCCUUCAUUACCGGCGAUACUUGCUCUCCUUUUUCCUUUUAUGCCUAGUGAUUGCCUUCCCGUUACGCCUCAGAAUACAGAGGCAGGCGUGGACAAGGAAAAGGGAGAGAAGGUUACCUCUUUCCUUGUGACACACAUAGCAGCAGUAAAGUAUUUUAUAUUCUUUCUUUCCCCUUCAUCAGAAUCAACACUUAAUGUUAGACGAUUGUAAUUCGGUCAAUGGCGGCAGAUAGUGUUGGUUCAUUGUUAUUUUUAUGAGUUUCUGCGAGGAGUUUCUCGGAGUGCUAAAGCUGGUGAGGAUCUAAGAUUAGAAGGUAAUGGUUCCAAAUUUCUUCUGUUCAAAUUUUGUAUAUAAGACAUCAAAAUAACACAAUUUCAUGCAUAAUAGACUGUCAUUUUGUUUGCAUAA